rnacentral:rRNA from 1 species
CGGGGGAGCGUUCGCGCUUCCGCCGGCGACCGGCGCACGGGUGAGUAACACGUAUGGAACCUGCCCGCAGCAGGGGGAUAAUCGGGGGAAACCCCGUCUAAUACCGCGUAACGACCCGGGGGGGCAUCCCUUCGGGUCCAAAGGUUUACCGGCUGCGGAUGGCCAUGCGUCGCAUUAGCUUGUUGGCGGGGUAACGGCCCACCAAGGCGACGAUGCGUAGGGGUUCUGAGAGGAAGGUCCCCCACACUGGUACUGAGACACGGACCAGACUCCUACGGGAGGCAGCAG